rnacentral:rRNA from 1 species
GUCCACGCUGUAAACGAUGGGCACUAGGUGUUCGGGGUAUUGACCCCCUGAGUGCCGCAGCUAACGCAUUAAGUGCCCCGCCUGGGGACUACGGCCGCAAGGUUAAAACUCAAAGGAAUUGACGGGGGCCCGCACAAGCGGUGGAGCAUGUGGUUUAAUUCGACGCAACGCGAAGAACCUUACCUGGGCUAGACAACGUUGGACAGCUCUAGAAAUAGAGUCUUCCCGCAAGGGACCGGCGGUUCAGGUGCUGCAUGGCUGUCGU